rnacentral:lncRNA from 12 species
UUCCUUUCAUAUUAACCUUAAAAAGCAAAGCUUCCAAAUAGUGUUUUCUGCCGCUACAAGAAAAAUGGAGAGGAGAGCUGCAGUGCAUUGGCCGUGUCCAAUGGGCCUGGAAUAUACAAAGGGCAUCAAGAGAGCAACUUCUGUGUGUCUGUACUGGAGUACAGAACUGUCAUUAGCCCAGGCCCUUGCAAAGACCUUGGAACAGGAGUAGAACCAAGAGGCUCUGGUGCUGCCUGGCUGUUUGCAGUCACAUUGUGCUGCCAGCACAUGGUCCUGCUCCUGCCUCCACAUGGUUUCAGC